GACGAACGCUGGCGGCGUGCUUAACACAUGCAAGUCGAGCGGUAAGGCCCUUUCGGGGGUACGACGAGCGGCGAACGGGUGAGUAACACGUGGGUGACCUGCCCUCAGCUCUGGGAUAAGCCUGGGAAACCGGGUCUAAUACUGGAUAUGACUCCAUGACGCAUGUUGUGGGGUGGAAAGCCUUGUGCGGCUGAGGAUGGGGCCCGCGGCCUAUCAGCUUGUUGGUGGGGUGANGGCCUACCAAGGCGACGACGGGUAGCCGGCCUGAGAGGGCGACCGGCCACACUGGGACUGAGACACGGCCCAGACUCCUACGGGAGGCAGCAGUGGGGAAUCUUGCGCAAUGGGCGAAAGCCUGACGCAGCGACGCCGCGUGAGGGAUGACGGCCU
rnacentral:rRNA from 1 species